UACGUUCCCGGGCCUUGUACACGCCGCCCGUCACACCAUGGGAGUGGGUUCGACCUAAAGCCGGUCGUCCAACCGCAAGGGGGGACGCCGUCCACGGUCGGGUUCAUGACUGGGGUG
rnacentral:rRNA from 1 species